AAUUUUAUUUUGUUUGUAUUUUUUUUUUAGAAUGUCAGUUUUCUUUAAGGGCAUCUGACAAUAAGAAUUGUCUAUGUAUGCACUACAGAUGCUGUCCAAUAUCUUUUCAUGAGGAAGCCUGCUCAAAAAGAUCGCCACAUUUUUCUUUAGGGGAAGUUGACAUUAAUCUUUUAGGUUAAUAAUAACCUAUGCAUGCAGUACAGAUGCUGUUCAUCUUUUCAUAAGCAAGCCUGCUCAAGAAGGUAAGAAGAAUUAAAUUUUGCUUUUAGAUUACUGAUCAGCAAUCUGAAAGAAAAUUGUUAAUGGGAUGGAAUUGAUUAAAUCUGCUGUAUGGAAGUCAAAAUAUGAAUUAUUGCCACCAGUCUUGAAGUCAGCUUGUAAAGAAUGCUAAGAAUUGA